rnacentral:rRNA from 1 species
GAAUCCCGUCCACCGAUUGACUAAGGUUUCCAGAGGAAGGCUCGUCCGCUCUGGGUUAGUCGGGUCCUAAGCUGAGGCCGACAGGCGUAGGCGAUGGAUAACAGGUUGAUAUUCCUGUACCACCUAUAAUCGUUUUAAUCGAUGGGGGGACGCAGUAGGAUAGGCGAAGCGUGCGAUUGGAUUGCACGUCUAAGCAGUAAGGCUGAGUAUUAGGCAAAUCCGGUACUCGUUAAGGCUGAGCUGUGAUGGGGAGAAGACAUUGUGUCUUCGAGUCGUUGAUUUCACACUGCCGAGAAAAGCCUCUAGAUAGAAAAUAGGUGCCCGUACCGCAAACCGACACAGGUAGUCAAGAUGAGAAUUCUAAGGUGAGCGAGCGAACUCUCGUUAAGGAACUCGGCAAAAUGACCCCGUAACUUCGGGAGAAGGGGUGCUCUUUAGGGUUAACGCCCAGAAGAGCCGCAGUGAAUAGGCCCAAGCGACUGUUUAUCAAAAACACAGGUCUCUGCUAAACCGUAAGGUGAUGUAUAGGGGCUGACGCCUGCCCGGUGCUGGAAGGUUAAGAGGAGUGGUUAGCUUCUGCGAAGCUACGAAUCGAAGCCCCAGUAAACGGCGGCCGUAACUAUAACGGUCCUAAGGUAGCGAAAUUCCUUGUCGGGUAAGUUCCGACCCGCACGAAAGGCGUAACGAUUUGGGCACUGUCUCAACGAGAGACUCGGUGAAAUCAUAGUACCUGUGAAGAUGCAGGUUACCCGCGACAGGACGGAAAGACCCCGUGGAGCUUUACUGUAGCCUGAUAUUGAAAUUCGGCACAGCUUGUACAGGAUAGGUAGGAGCCUUUGAAACGUGAGCGCUAGCUUACGUGGAGGCGCUGGUGGG